rnacentral:rRNA from 1 species
CACGUAGGGCGCGAGCGUUGUCCGGAAUUAUUGGGCGUAAAGGGCUCGUAGGCGGUUUGUCGCGUCGGCUGUGAAAUCCCGAGGCUCAACCUCGGGCCUGCAGUCGAUACGGGCAAACUAGAGUGUGGUAGGGGAGACUGGAAUUCCUGGUGUAGCGGUGAAAUGCGCAGAUAUCAGGAGGAACACCGGCGGCGAAGGCGGGUCUCUGGGCCAUAACUGACGCUGAGGAGCGAAAGCGUGGGGAGCGAACAGG